AGAGUUUGAUCCUGGCUCAGGAUGAACGCUAGCUACAGGCUUAACACAUGCAAGUCGAGGGGCAGCAUGGUCUUAGCUUGCUAAGGCCGAUGGCGACCGGCGCACGGGUGAGUAACACGUAUCCAACCUGCCGUCUACUCUUGGACAGCCUUCUGAAAGGAAGAUUAAUACAAGAUGGCAUCAUGAGUCCGCAUGUUCACAUGAUUAAAGGUAUUCCGGUAGACGAUGGGGAUGCGUUCCAUUAGAUAGUAGGCGGGGUAACGGCCCACCUAGUCUUCGAUGGAUAGGGGUUCUGAGAGGAAGGUCCCCCACAUUGGAACUGAGACACGGUCCAAACUCCUACGGGAGGCAGCAGUGAGGAAUAUUGGUCAAUGGACGAGAGUCUGAACCAGCCAAGUAGCGUGAAGGAUGACUGCCCUAUGGGUUGUAAACUUCUUUUAUAAAGGAAUAAAGUCGGGUAUGGAUACCCGUUUGCAUGUACUUUAUGAAUAAGGAUCGGCUAACUCCGUGCCAGCAGCCGCGGUAAUACGGAGGAUCCGAGCGUUAUCCGGAUUUAUUGGGUUUAAAGGGAGCGUAGGUGGAUUGUUAAGUCAGUUGUGAAAGUUUGCGGCUCAACCGUAAAAUUGCAGUUGAAACUGGCAGUCUUGAGUACAGUAGAGGUGGGCGGAAUUCGUGGUGUAGCGGUGAAAUGCUUAGAUAUCACGAAGAACUCCGAUUGCGAAGGCAGCUCACUAGACUGCAACUGACACUGAUGCUCGAAAGUGUGGGUAUCAAACAGGAUUAGAUACCCUGGUAGUCCACACAGUAAACGAUGAAUACUCGCUGUUUGCGAUAUACAGUAAGCGGCCAAGCGAAAGCAUUAAGUAUUCCACCUGGGGAGUACGCCGGCAACGGUGAAACUCAAAGGAAUUGACGGGGGCCC
rnacentral:rRNA from 1 species